rnacentral:snRNA from 1 species
AGGAAUAUGAAGGGGCAUCUGUCAUCCCAUUGAUCACCAGGGUUGAUUAGGCUGACCCAGCUAAGUGGGCCGAUGUCUGCCUCCUCUCUCACUGCCCCACAUGCCUCCCUUCUGAAGCUGUGGGCUCAGUUGAAAAGGAUUACCUUUCCUCAUAAAGGAGAACUGCUCUUCAGUCAAGGCAGCUAACUGAGUUCCCCUGCUAGAACCUCCAAACAAGCUCUCAAGGUCCACCAUCUCCCAAGGGCACCACACGCUGAUGAUCAAACUUUGAUACAUGGAGUUUUGGAGCCAU